ACUUAAAUUGAAGAGUUUGAUCAUGGCUCAGAUUGAACGCUGGCGGCAGGCCUAACACAUGCAAGUCGAGCGGUAGCACAGAGAGCUUGCUCUCGGGUGACGAGCGGCGGACGGGUGAGUAAUGUCUGGGAAACUGCCUGAUGGAGGGGGAUAACUACUGGAAACGGUAGCUAAUACCGCAUAAUGUCGCAAGACCAAAGAGGGGGACCUUCGGGCCUCUUGCCAUCAGAUGUGCCCAGAUGGGAUUAGCUAGUAGGUGGGGUAACGGCUCACCUAGGCGACGAUCCCUAGCUGGUCUGAGAGGAUGACCAGCCACACUGGAACUGAGACACGGUCCAGACUCCUACGGGAGGCAGCAGUGGGGAAUAUUGCACAAUGGGCGCAAGCCUGAUGCAGCCAUGCCGCGUGUAUGAAGAAGGCCUUCGGGUUGUAAAGUACUUUCAGCGGGGAGGAAGGUGUUGAGGUUAAUAACCUCAGCAAUUGACGUUACCCGCAGAAGAAGCACCGGCUAACUCCGUGCCAGCAGCCGCGGUAAUACGGAGGGUGCAAGCGUUAAUCGGAAUUACUGGGCGUAAAGCGCACGCAGGCGGUCUGUCAAGUCGGAUGUGAAAUCCCCGGGCUCAACCUGGGAACUGCAUUCGAAACUGGCAGGCUAGAGUCUUGUAGAGGGGGGUAGAAUUCCAGGUGUAGCGGUGAAAUGCGUAGAGAUCUGGAGGAAUACCGGUGGCGAAGGCGGCCCCCUGGACAAAGACUGACGCUCAGGUGCGAAAGCGUGGGGAGCAAACAGGAUUAGAUACCCUGGUAGUCCACGCCGUAAACGAUGUCGACUUGGAGGUUGUGCCCUUGAGGCGUGGCUUCCGGAGCUAACGCGUUAAGUCGACCGCCUGGGGAGUACGGCCGCAAGGUUAAAACUCAAAUGAAUUGACGGGGGCCCGCACAAGCGGUGGAGCAUGUGGUUUAAUUCGAUGCAACGCGAAGAACCUUACCUACUCUUGACAUCCAGAGAACUUUCCAGAGAUGGAUUGGUGCCUUCGGGAACUCUGAGACAGGUGCUGCAUGGCUGUCGUCAGCUCGUGUUGUGAAAUGUUGGGUUAAGUCCCGCAACGAGCGCAACCCUUAUCCUUUGUUGCCAGCGGUUAGGCCGGGAACUCAAAGGAGACUGCCAGUGAUAAACUGGAGGAAGGUGGGGAUGACGUCAAGUCAUCAUGGCCCUUACGAGUAGGGCUACACACGUGCUACAAUGGCGCAUACAAAGAGAAGCGACCUCGCGAGAGCAAGCGGACCUCAUAAAGUGCGUCGUAGUCCGGAUUGGAGUCUGCAACUCGACUCCAUGAAGUCGGAAUCGCUAGUAAUCGUAGAUCAGAAUGCUACGGUGAAUACGUUCCCGGGCCUUGUACACACCGCCCGUCACACCAUGGGAGUGGGUUGCAAAAGAAGUAGGUAGCUUAACCUUCGGGAGGGCGCUUACCACUUUGUGAUUCAUGACUGGGGUGAAGUCGUAACAAGGUAACCGUAGGGGAACCUGCGGUUGGAUCACCUCCUUACCUUAAAGAA
rnacentral:rRNA from 1 species